AGCGAGGAGCUGACACUUGCAGCAAAUCAACGUGUUACUUUUCUGAAAUUCCAGAACAAGAAUGCAGCAUGGAUCAAGAACAGGAAUGCAGCAUGAAUCAUUGUCCUGCUGAAGAGGAUAGUCCCAGUUCCAAAGAGGAGGUACGAUGAUCUGAACCUGAGAUACAGUCAACUUCAGUAGGAGAUAUUGUCAACCUGCCGACAGGAGUUUGACACACUCCGAGCAGAAAAAUGUAAAACUGGAAAGAGGAGCUGCAAAAAUCUAGAUUCUCCUAGCACCCACUGUUAAGUGCAACAUUGGAACAAUUGAUUUAUCUCACAGGGACUGACUUCUGGUGGUCUUUGAGUGGCUGAUU